rnacentral:rRNA from 1 species
CCCUUAGAUGUUCUGGGCCGCACACGCGCUACACUGAAGGAGGCAGCGUGUACUCCUGGAUCGAAAGAUUUGGGUAACCCGCGAAUCUCCUUCGUGCUAGGGAUUGAGGUUUGCAAUUAUCCUUCAUGAACGAGGAAUUCCCAGUAAGUGCAAGUCAUAAGCUUGCGCUGACUACGUCCCUGCCCUUUGUACACACCGCCCGUCGCUACUACCGAUUGAAUGAUUUAGUGAGGACUUCGGACUGGGACCGAUGCGGCUUUGGGGCUGCGUCGGUAUUCUGGAAAGAUGUCCAAACUGUAUCAUUUAGAGGAAGUAAAAGUCGUAACA